rnacentral:rRNA from 1 species
CGAACGCUGGCGGCAGGCCUAACACAUGCAAGUCGAACGAACUCUUCGGAGUUAGUGGCGGACGGGUGAGUAACACGUGGGAACGUGCCUUUUGGUUCGGAAUAACUCAGGGAAACUUGUGCUAAUACCGAAUGUGCCCUUCGGGGGAAAGAUUUAUCGCCAUUAGAGCGGCCCGCGUCUGAUUAGCUAGUUGGUGAGGUAAAGGCUCACCAAGGCGACGAUCAGUAGCUGGUCUGAGAGGAUGAUCAGCCACAUUGGGACUGAGACACGGCCCAAACUCCUACGGGAGGCAGCAGUGGGGAAUCUUGCGCAAUGGGCGAAAGCCUGACGCAGCCAUGCCGCGUGAAUGAUGAAGGUCUUAGGAUUGUAAAAUUCUUUCACCGGGGACGAUAAUGACGGUACCCGGAGAAGAAGCCCCGGCUAACUUCGUGCCAGCAGCCGCGGUAAUACGAAGGGGGCUAGCGUUGCUCGGAAUUACUGGGCGUAAAGGGAGCGUAGGCGGACAUUUAAGUCAGGGGUGAAAUCCCGGGGCUCAACCUCGGAAUUGCCUUUGAUACUGGGUGUCUUGAGUAUGAGAGAGGUGUGUGGAACUCCGAGUGUAGAGGUGAAAUUCGUAGAUAUUCGGAAGAACACCAGUGGCGAAGGCGACACACUGGCUCAUUACUGACGCUGAGGCUCGAAAGCGUGGGGAGCAAACAGGAUUAGAUACCCUGGUAGUCCACGCCGUAAACGAUGAUUGCUAGUUGUCGGGAUGCAUG